AAGAAGGCCUUAUGGUUGUAAAGCACUUUAAGCGAGGAGGAGGCUUACCUAGUAAUACCUAGGAUAAGUGGACGUUACUCGCAGAAUAAGCACCGGCUAACUCUGUGCCAGCAGCCGCGGUAAUAC
rnacentral:rRNA from 1 species